rnacentral:rRNA from 1 species
GACGAACGCUGGCGGCGUGCCUAACACAUGCAAGUCGAGCGAGUGAAUCUCCUUCGGGAGUGAAGCUAGCGGCGGACGGGUGAGUAACACGUGGGCAACCUGCCUCAUAGAGGGGAAUAGCCUUUCGAAAGGAAGAUUAAUACCGCAUAAGAUUGUAGCUUCGCAUGAAGUAGCAAUUAAAGGAGCAAUCCGCUAUGAGAUGGGCCCGCGGCGCAUUAGCUAGUUGGUGAGGUAACGGCUCACCAAGGCGACGAUGCGUAGCCGACCUGAGAGGGUGAUCGGCCACAUUGGGACUGAGACACGGCCCAGACUCCUACGGGAGGCAGCAGUGGGGAAUAUUGCACAAUGGGGGAAACCCUGAUGCAGCAACGCCGCGUGAGUGAUGACGGCCUUCGGUUGUAAAGUCUCUGUCUUCUAGGACGAUAAUAGACGGUACCUGAGGAGGAAGCACGGCUAACUACGUCGCCAGCACGCCGCGGUAAACUCCG